GACGAACGCUGGCGGCGUGCCUAACACAUGCAAGUCGAGCGGAGAUACCUAGUAGUUUACUACGAAGUAUCUUAGCGGCGGACGGGUGAGUAACGCGUGGGUAACCUGCCUUACAGAGGGGGAUAACAGUGCGAAAGUACUGCUAAUACCGCAUAAGAUUGUACUAUCGCAUGGUAGAGCAAUCAAAGGAGAAAUCCGCUGUAAGAUGGACCCGCGUCUGAUUAGCUAGUUGGAGAGGUAAAAGCUCACCAAGGCGACGAUCAGUAGCCGAUCUGAGAGGAUGAACGGCCACACUGGAACUGAGACACGGUCCAGACUCCUACGGGAGGCUG
rnacentral:rRNA from 1 species